AUUGGUAUUCGGCCCCAUGAAGGUGUUGAGGCCGACACUUGCGGGCUGCAGUUCGAC
rnacentral:sRNA from 1 species